CACUUUCUCGGCCUCUCUAGUGAAAAGUAGAGGCAGCUGACUCUCUCCACUCACUUUCUUCCUCCGCCAGCCGCCUCCUCAGUAGCACGGCGCCUCCUCUACAGCAUGCCGCAUCCUCUACCGCCACGACGUCGCCCGGCGCCCCCGCCCACGCCGCCACCACCACCACGACGGCCUCGCGCCGUCUCCUCCAAUCCCCAGCAGGGCCUCGCCCCGCUGGCCUUAUCCCCAGCACAGCCUCGCCCCGCCCCCUCCUCUCACCACUGCGGCCUUGCCUCGCCGCCAACCCCGGGGAUCUUCCCUAGAUCGACUCUGCCGCCUUUAUCCUACUGUUCCAGAGGAGAUCGAGAUGCGGGGGCGGGCAUAUCGAAUUGAAUCGAGAUCCAGUGCGUCGACGUGCCCGCCGUAGUCAUCGCCCCCCGUUCUUGGCUCAAAUAGUCGCUCUGGGAAGGAGUUCGCAGCUCGCGUACGUGCUCUACAGGAUCAGCAUGAUCUCUCUGUCGCCGCUGUUGUCAUAAAGGCUCGCAGUCGACCAGACUAUUUGCAGAUGACACUUGAAUCUAUCCUCAAGUAUCACAAAGCGGUUGCUUCAUAGUUCCCACUAUUUAUAUCACAGGAUGGUACAAAUGGAGAAGUAAAAAAUAAGGCCUGGAGUUAUACCCAAAUAACAUUUGUGCAGGUGUGGAAAGAAACACUUGCUCUAUGCUCAUUGCCUAAUGGAUUUAAGUAGCGGUGGUAACACAGUCAGUUGGGAGGACCCAAUGGCAGAGUCGAUAUUAUUGACAUUUUCCUUGUUAGAAACGGCAGUAUCUGGUGUUCUUAAUGAAUUUGGACCAUCAAGUGGAGUCUCAUCACUCAUUAUCACAUCAGCAGGUAUGCCUGCAUCAUAAUUGUAUGUACAAUGUCAGCUGUUGACACACAAACGCCGGUAUUAUGGUUGGAUGUAGGAGAACACAUGACCUUCUGUAGCUGGUGUGUGUCGUUGCUGGGUGACAGUAGACUGCGUACUAGGCCUCUCCAUAGUGUCAAAACCUGUCCAAAAGAACACUUAAUUAACAUGAUUUUACAUGUGAUUGAUGAAAUGCAUGAGAAAAACAGAGAAAAUGGAGUAACCAGGCGACAUGGCCCUGUGUGGCUUAGAUGGAGUGUUGAUUCCAUUUAGAAUAGCACCCGUAGCUUUCUUACGAUCCCUUGCCUCCUGUCUUUUCUUUAAUAUUGCAUCCAUGUUUAGUGCAUACCUCUCCCUUUCCCUCUGUUUCUUCAGCUCUUUUGGAUUUGUUUUUUGACCUGCGACACAAUGACAUAUUCUGGAUCUACAAGAUCUAAGUAGGUAAGAGUAGGUGAUAUAUGUAUUUACCUGAACUGUUGUUGUUGUUUGUCAGGUCCUGAAAGGGAGUACGUACCCCACUACGUUGAGAGGAUGCCAUAUUGUCUUCUCAAUGGUUUUUUUGUGAAACACUUAUUCAACCCUUCAUCAACUCAGUUUGUUCAUGAUGUACUGUCGAGAUGUUGCUGCCCACAUGGGGUGAUGACACCGGAGGUAGGGCAGCGCGCCGGGUCGAGGACGUCGUGGACAGGCUGAGGGCGGCGUGGCGGGGACGGUGGGGCGAGGAGAGGUAGGGAAGCAAGGUGGGUCGAGGAUGUCGCCGACACCAGGGGCGAGGGCGGCUAGCCGAGGCAAGGUUCGUGGCGUGAUGGCAGCGUUGAUGGUGGAGGAUCGUGGCAUGGUGGCGGCUUUGAUCACGGAGGUUCUGUUUAAUUCCCGGGGGGUGUCAUCGCUGGGCUAUGUCAAAUCCUGAACGGGGGAGUCUGCCGGAAGAACAUUUGUUUUGAACCGUAGAUCUGUUUGUAGUAUGGUGGAUGUAACAUGGACCGUUGGAUGCAACUAUGUGGGUUUGAUCGGACGUUUGGGGUUAUCAUGUGUGCACUUUCUGGGGUGCACAUAGGGGAAGUCAUGUUUGAUUUUUUUAAUAGUAGUAUAGAUGCAUCACUAGUAAGGUACACGUAUAUUGCAUGUAUUAGAUUUGACAAGCAAAUUAGGAAUAAAUACCAUACUAUAGCAUAUAAGUUUUGA